rnacentral:piRNA from 7 species
UUUUACUAAAGAUUUCCGUGGAGAGGAAC